CUUAUAUUCAACUAUAGUGCUACGUCCUCAUAUUUAGCAAUAGUGCUGCAUCCUCAUAUUCAACUAUAGUGCCGCAUCCUCAUAUUCAACUAUAGUGCUACAUCCUUAUAUUCAGCAGUAAUGCUGCAUCCUCAUAUUCAGCAAUAGUGCUGCAUCCUCAUAUUCAGCAAUAGUGCUGCAUCCUCAUAUUCAGCAAUAGUGCUGCAUCCUCAUAUUCAGCAAUAGUGCUACAUCCUUAUAUUCAACUAUAUGCUACAUCCUAUAUUCAGCAGUAAUGCUGCAUCCUCAUAUUCAGCAAUAGUGCUGCAUCCUUAUAUUCAGCAAUAGUGCUGCAUCCUUAUAUUCAGCAAUAGUGCUGCAUCCUCAUAUUCAACUAUAGUGCUGCAUCCUCAUAUUCAGCAAUAGUGCUGCAUCCUUAUAUUCAACUAUAGUGCCACAUGCUCAUAUUCAGCAAUAGUGCUGCAUCCAUAUAUUCAGCAAUAGUGCUACAUCCUCAUAUUCAACUAUAGUGCUGCAUCCUCAUAUUCAACUAUAUAUUCAUCCUUAUAUUCAGCAAUAGUGCUGCAUCCUCAUAUUCAUCAAUAGUGCUGCAUCCUUAUAUUAAACUAUAGUGCUACAUCCUCAUAUUCAGCAAUAUGCUGCAUCCUUAUAUUAAACUAUAGUGCUACAUCCUCAUAUUCAGCAAUAGUGCUGCAUCCAUAUAUUCAGCAAUAGUGCUGCAUCCUCAUAUUCAACUAUAUAUUCAUCCUUAUAUUCAGCUAUAGUACUACAUCCUCAUAUUCAACUAUAGUACUACAUACUCAUUUUCAACUAUAUUGCUACAUCCUUAUAUUCAGCAGUAGUGCUGCAUCCUCAUAUUCAACUAUAGUGCUACGUCCUCAUAUUUAGCAAUAGUGCUGCAUCAUUAUAUUCAGCAAUAGUGCUGCAUCCUCAUAUUCAACUAUAGUGCUACAUCCUCAUAUUCAACUAUAGUGCUACGUCCUCAUAUUUAGCAAUAGGGCUGCAUCAU
ensembl:lncRNA